rnacentral:rRNA from 1 species
UGGGGAAUAUUGGACAAUGGGCGAAAGCCUGAUCCAGCCAUGCCGCGUGUGUGAAGAAGGUCUUCGGAUUGUAAAGCACUUUAAGUUGGGAGGAAGGGCAUUAACCUAAUACGUUAGUGUUUUGACGUUACCGACAGAAUAAGCACCGGCUAACUCUGUGCCAGCAGCCGCGGUAAUACAGAGGGUGCAAGCGUUAAGCGGAAUUACUGGGCGUAAAGCGCGCGUAGGUGGUUUGUUAAGUUGGAUGUGAAAGCCCCGGGCUCAACCUGGGAACUGCAUCCAAAACUGGCAAGCUAGAGUACGGUAGAGGGUGGUGGAAUUUCCUGUGUAGCGGUGAAAUGCGUAGAUAUAGGAAGGAACACCAGUGGCGAAGGCGACCACCUGGACUGAUACUGACACUGAGGUGCGAAAGCGUGGGGAGCAAACA